rnacentral:rRNA from 1 species
GACUCCAGCAAAAUCACCAUAAAUGCACUCAAUCUUGCCAGAUCUUGGAAGCUAAGCAUGGUUGAUCCUGGUCCUAAUACUUGGAUGGGUGACCGCCAGGGCUGGCCAGGUCUUGUAGGUG